rnacentral:rRNA from 1 species
UGGGGAAUAUUGGACAAUGGGCGAAAGCCUGACCAGCCAUGCCGCGUGUGUGAAGAAGGUCUUCGGAUUGUAAAGCACUUUAAGUUGGGAGGAAGGGCAGUAAGCGAAUACCUUGCUGUUUUGACGUUACCGACAGAAUAAGCACCGGCUAACUCUGUGCCAGCAGCCGCGGUAAUACAGAGGGUGCAAGCGUUAAUCGGAAUUACUGGGCGUAAAGCGCGCGUAGGUGGUUCGUUAAGUUGAAUGUGAAAGCCCCGGGCUCAACCUGGGAACUGCAUCCAAAACUGGCGAGCUAGAGUAGGGCAGAGGGUGGUGGAAUUUCCUGUGUAGCGGUGAAAUGCGUAGAUAUAGGAAGGAACACCAGUGGCGAAGGCGACCACCUGGGCUCAUACUGACACUGAGGUGCGAAAGCGUGGGGAGCAAACAGG